rnacentral:tRNA from 1 species
GAGGAUAUAGCUCGCUGGUAGAGUGCAUGCUUGGCAUGCACAAGGUUCUGGGUUCAAUCCCCAGUACCGCCU